rnacentral:misc_RNA from 1 species
AGUGUAUAUUAAUAGCACAUAAAUCCCAUUCAACUUAAAAAUUGCACGCAUAGAAAGGAGCCCUGGCAUUCCCCGCCACGCUUUAGCGUCGAAUUAGAAAGGAGCCCUAGGGUUUUUCUCUUUCCGACCUCUGAGUCUCAGGCAAAUCAUGGGUGGAGGCAACGGUCAGAAAGCGAAGAUGGCUCGGGAGAGGAAUCUGGAGAAGCUGAAGGGUGCUAAAGGAAGUCAGCUCGAUACGAACAAAAAGGCCAUGAAUAUCCAGUGCAAGGUAUGUAUGCAGACAUUUAUGUGCACAACAUCAGAGGUGAAGUGUAAGGAACAUGCUGAAGCAAAGCACCCAAAAUCUGAUCUCUAUGCUUGUUUUCCUCAUCUCAAAAGUUGAAGUCCUUUUAUGUGUCAAACAUCCUUGCAGAAAAAAAAAGUUGGUAUGAUUAAUGAUCUACCAGUCACUAAAUGCAACAGUCAGCUCAAUCACGCUGUGAACUGUUUGUAGUUAUUGUGUGUGUGUUUGUGAGACUUGCAACUUGUGUUAAUGGUUCGUCUUAAUAAUGAAGCUUCCUGUCGACAAGACAAUGUCAUAUGACAUGAAACAAGCAGUUGCUGAAAUUAAAACCUAUAUGUUAAGAAAUUAGAAACCAUUU